rnacentral:rRNA from 1 species
UUCCCAGACUCCUACGGGAGGCAGCAGUGGGGAAUUUUGGACAAUGGGCGCAAGCCUGAUCCAGCUAUUCCGCGUGUGGGAAGACGGCCUUCGGGUUGUAAACCACUUUUGUAGAGAACGAAAAGUCUGUUGAUAAUACCGAUAGACGAUGACGGUACUCUAAGAAUAAGCACCGGCUAACUACGUGCCAGCAGCCGCGGUAAUACGUAGGGUGCGAGCGUUAUCCGGAUUUAUUGGGUUUAAAGGGUGCGUAGGCGGAAUAUCAAGUCAGCGGUAAAAAUUCGGGGCUCAACCCCGUCGUGCCGUUGAAACUGAUGUUCUUGAGUGGGCGAGAAGUAUGCGGAAUGCGUGGUGUAGCGGUGAAAUGCAUAGAUAUCACGCAGAACUCCGAUUGCGAAGGCAGCAUACCGGCGCCCAACUGACGCUGAAGCACGAAAGCGUGGGUAUCGAACAGGAUUAGAUACCCUUGUA